ACUCAAAGGAAUUGACGGGGGCCCGCACAAGCGGCGGAGCGUGUGGUUUAAUUCGAUGCAACGCGAAGAACCUUACCAAGGCUUGACAUGCUAGUAGUACGGAGUCGAAAGACAAAGGACCCUUCGGGGAGCUAGCACAGGUGCUGCAUGGCUGUCGUCAGCUCGUGCCGUGAGGUGUUGGGUUAAGUCCCGCAACGAGCGCAACCCCCGUCGUUAGUUAAAUCUUUCUAACGAGACCGCUGGGAUAAACCCAGAGGAAGGUGGGGAUGACGUCAAGUCAGCAUGGCCCUUACGUCUUGGGCUACACACACGCUACAAUGGCCGGUACAAUGGGCUGCCAAGGCGCGAGCCGGAGCUAAUCCCUCAAAACCGGCCCCAGUUCAGAUUGCAGGCUGCAACUCGCCUGCAUGAAGGCGGAGUCGCUAGUAACCGCAGGUCAGCUACACUGCGGUGAAUACGUUCCCGGGCCUUGUACACACCGCCCGU
rnacentral:rRNA from 1 species